CAGUUCCUGGUGCCACGUGGAAGUUUUCCCGUCCAGCAAGCAGCGAGGGGAUUUCCCCUGGGACCGGAUCCCCCUGGUGCACCCAGAGCUGCCACCGCUAGCUCGGUUGAAGGGGAUCCCUGUGCCCAAGGCUCCGGGCGAUGGAUGGGAGCUGCCAGCCCCGCAGCAGAGGUGUUGGUGUCAUUGAUCAGCUCCAGCACUGAUUUCCCCCUCUUCUCCCUGCUAUAUUUUCAUCUUGGCUGGGGAACAAAUGAAUAUAAGUGGCCGGCACCGUGUGCCUGGAGGCGGUGGGGCUGUGGGGUUUCCCUGGGCGUGUUGACCAAAAGCAUCCCCUCGUCCUUCCAUCCGUGGUGGAGAGCUGAGCAUCACCCAGCCCCGUGCCCUGUGUCUCCAGGGGUGAAGAGGCUGCAUGGAUGUGGGGAUGAAUGAUACUGGGGUGGGGAUUGGGGUCGCAAUUUUAAGUGGUUUGCAAAGCCCGCCGUGAGCUGGAGAAGGCACCGGUGGCUUCCUCGGGACACAUCCCGUGCUCAGUGCCCACAUGGGGCUGAUCCUAAAGCGCAUCCCAGCCUGGUGGUGCUGGGGCUGCUCUCUGCAUCAGCCCCCAAGAAAGGAGCCACAGCUGGAGGAUUUGCAGUCCCCAUGGGCUCCUGCUUGGGCACAGCCCCACAGCCACCUCCUCUGCCCCACCACGAAGAUUUUGCAGUGGAUGGCAGGGAGGAUGGAGAGGUGGGAGAGGAGCUGGAGGAGGAAACGGAUUCGAGAACCUGGAGCUGAUGGAGGAAAGCAGCCUGGGGAGAGGACACAUGGGAACAAGAUGGGGAAGGGAUGGACGGAUGCUCAGGACUAGAUAAAAAAUGAGGAAGAAAGUAGGAAAGCUGUGCACAGACACGGUCACCUCCUGACCCUCAGCCUCCCCAAAAUUUAAGAGUAGCUUCCCGGUGAGCCCCCUGCAGACCCCAGACCUGCUCCCCCCAAACCCAAACUGCCGUGAGGACCUGGCACAAUGGCAUCCUGGAGGCUCAGCUCUCUGCGGCCCCAAAUCCCCCCAUUAACUGGGGUUUUCCAGCACCCAAUUCUGGAAAGACUGAGCUGCUGGCUUGCCCGAAGGAGCUGCGGAGGUGGGAAGCCCCCCAGCAGGGCAUCUCCAGCCCUUCCCUCCCCGAUUUUUUUGGCAGGGAGGCAGGCAGGACCGGCGGUGCCACGCAGGGGGCCGAGCCCCCCCCGCCCUCCCCAGGUUUCUCUCUGUAUCUGCCAAGCACACACGCUUGGUCCGGGGCCAGUUUGAACCCAAACUCCGAAUCGCAAAGAGCCAGGGAGAAUUUUUAGCGCACCAGAAGCCUUGAUUUUCAGCCAGCUGUUUCCCCCAGUGUCAUUCAACUGAUAAAGGGAAAAGCCAGGGCUGGCAUUAGGAAAAGCAUCUCGUAAGCUGCAAAACCAGCAGAAAAGACUCCGUUGCCAGGCUUGUGGGGCGACAGACACUUAAUUUAGUGCAGUCCAGGGAUUUUUUUUAUUUUUUUUUCCUUCAAUGUUAGUGGAAAAUCCUGAUUCAUCAAAAACCACAAUUCUUUGAAAGAAUGGGUCAGUCCCACCUGACGUUUUCACUCAAUUUAAAGAAAACCCAAACCAAUAAAACCGAAUCAGAUGACAUUUUGUACCCAAUCUCUUCCAAAAGGGAAGAAAUUAUUCGCUGCUCAUCCCAAAUGUCUUUUGAGUGUUAAGUGUGUGGCUGCUUAUGGUAAAAAGAGAUGGAAACUCCAAAUUUGCAGAACUGUCAGAAGCUGUUUCCAUGACCCCACGAGGAGGUUUAGGUCAGUCUGAAGGGCAC